rnacentral:rRNA from 1 species
UACGGAGGGCGCAAGCGUUGUUCGGAAUCACUGGGCGUAAAGCGCGUGUAGGCGGCUUGGCAAGUCGGAUGUGAAAUCCCGAGGCUCAACCUCGGAACUGCACUCGAAACUGCCUGGCUCGAGUCCCGGAGAGGGUGGCGGAAUGCCCGGUGUAGGGGUGAAAUCCGUAGAUAUCGGGAGGAACACCAGUGGCGAAGGAGGCCGCCGGGACGGUGACUGACGCUGAGGCGCGAAAGCGUGGGGAGCAAACAGG